rnacentral:tRNA from 1 species
GUGCAGGUGCCAGAGUGGUCUAAUGGGGUGGUUUGCAAAACCAUUAUUCGCUGGUUCGAAUCCAGUCCUGCACUC